ensembl:lncRNA
AGCAAAUGAGGGGGCGGGAUUCUGAUCAUCAGUAUCUCUCAUUCAGUGCCGCGCCGCGCGAGCUCCUGUGGUUAGUCAUUCCAGCAGGCCUACAACUACACUUGGCAGUUGGAAGGCAGCCUAAUAGUUGUUUUACAGACGCUUUCCACACACUUCGCAGCAGCAUUGAAGACGACAAGCGUCAAGAAAGUCGACUCCUCAAAAAUGUACAAGGCCUACGUGACGUUACCAGAGCGAGGGAGGCAAACUAUACCCGACACCAAGCAGAGAAGCGAGAGAGGUGGAGGAAGAAUAGGUUGGAGAGUUAAAAUUGGCCAAAAACAUGCACCCGCCUCUCAGAUGUGCCAAUGAAAGCUGUCGCUAUUUCCCUUUUGUCCAAGGCCUUCAGUGUAUCCCUGUGGAUAUGGCAGACUGCAGUGCUGUUGAGCCUCAACUGGGUCAUUGUUGUCCUCAGCCAAUUCUUCAGCCGUCGCAGAGCACUGAAGCUCCUUUCUGCCUCACAGGAUGAAACUGGGACCACGAGUAGCAGUCUCACCAGAGUCUCCACCUGUGAGAAGAGCCCUCUGACCUCUGGUGGCAUGCCUCUGAGAAUUUGGACAGCUUCUUUGCAUGAAGUCUCCUCCAGCUUGACCAGAUUUCCCAGGCUCACCUGAUCAAAACGCUCAUGAAGCUGGGUGGUCGCCAUGUCAA